rnacentral:lncRNA from 1 species
AAUACUUCAGAUAUAAGCUGUGAACACACAUGUACACAAAACUGUGCAACAUUCAUCAUCAUAUUGUAUCAAUUUGUCGGAGUAUGACGCUCAUAUUUGUGACAUCGUUUUGUUCGCUUUGGCAACCCUUGUAUAUACCAGAUGCUGUUCGGCUUCAAAUGCGGCUGAAUAAACACUGAUAGUGUUGCCUGGAAUAUGAAAUGAUAUUGACUGAUUGUUCUGUAUAUCAAGGUAUGUACUGUACAUUUAUACUGAAUAUAUUUUCACACGAGUUUCAAACUAUUUCAGCCUUAUGAACAAUGAGAUUACAUCACUAACAUACAGUCAUACAGAAAGACUCCAUAUUUUCUCAUCAAAUCUGUUUAUCGUUACAAGUAACAGUAGAAAUGCUUCAAAAUGUAUUCUGUAUGUAAAGCAGGCCAGCAUGUUUCAUUUUGCUUUGGUGGUAGUCACCACUCACCAAGUCAAAUAGGUCAUUCCAUUUAAUAGCCCCCCUAUUAGGUCUGGAUAUCCUAUAUGGGGAGUUUAGAGAGGGAGUUUUUACCUUAAUUUUUUCUGGAGGGUAGCUUAAGAGAUUUCCUAAAAAUUAGGUGUUUUAGUGAUAUCCAAAGGAGCAGGAACUAUAUCCUAAAGGGGUAGAAGGAUAUUCAUAGGGGUUCCAAAAUUGCAUCCAAUGGGGUUCCAAAAUUUUUAAGGUAUUAUGAGAGACCCCCCAAUAGGUGUGGGGGCUAUAUUAGAUGGAAUGGCCCAGUGUGCUGCAACAACUUUUAAAAUUUGUAUAUAUGUUUUUAAGGCACAAUAUGUGAUGGAGUUUGAUAUGAUGAUCAGCACAACCUGAAGGUCUUGACUGAAUGAACAACUUAUCUGAUAUACUCCUAGUUCCAAUACUUUGCUGUAUAUUAUCACCAGCUCAGAUGCCAGUUGGAUCACUUUGAAUGAACAUUGGAGUGGCACAAUAAAGUGUCUGUAUUAGGGAGGAGUCCAUAAGGACUGAAGUAAAAGGCACACUUUUGGAUAUUAAUUUGAAUCAUAGCAACUACAUAUACUGUAGGUUUCAAAUAAGUUUGAACAAUGAACAACUGAAAAUAGAAAUUUAUUUAAUUUGAAACACUUAAAGGAAUUACAACAUAUUAUAUGAUAGUCAUAUGUACAUGAUUAAAGGUAUAUUCAUUAGUUUUACUAGCUGAUAUUUAUGACCAUCCUGGGACAACAUUUUAUUUUUCCCAAGAGAUUUUACUUGCAUGAUAGUAAUAAGUUUAAUAGUAACAGAGAAGUGUGAUGGAUAUAUGCAAGUAAUUAUCAUUAGAAAUACAAAUAUUAAACUGUAAUUUUGACCAUUGUAAAUGUAUUAUUAAAGAAACAAAAUACAAAAGUCAAACAAGGCUAUUUAACAUAAUACAGUCAUAAUACUAGACUGGUUAACUACUGGAUAGAGGGAUCAUGAAAAUCUUCAAAGAUUACUACCAUAGCUCUGUAACAGGAAAAGGUAUAGUGAGUUAAGCUUUCUUCACCUUGAUGAACAAAAUUAUAUAGCAUUAGAAAACUAUAAUGCCAUCAAAUAAUUCCCAUUUAAAAAUUUUCAUGUUGGUCACUGUGAAAUAUAAUUUUGAGGCCAUCUUAAUGAUUGUUUACUAUCUGAUUGAUGACAUGAUUAUAUAUAUUUCCAAUUUUCCAUGGAAUCCAAGUUGGUUUUUUCCCAAGUUCAUGUAAAAUAUGGU